GAUUAACACAAACAUGAUUGGAAUAAUAAAGCAAUUUUCUAAGAUCAUUUAUUUUCUAAUAAAAUUAUAAAACUGUAAUAUUGGAUAAUGGGGAUUUUGAGAGACAGUAAUCGCUCCUCUUCUUCAGCAACUACACCUUGUGCCCAUCUCAGAACUGCGUAUCACAACUGCUUCAACCGAUGGUAUUCGGAGAAAUUCCUGAAAGGGCAGUGGGAGAAAGAAGGGUGCAUUUCUGAGUGGGAGAAAUACAGGGAGUGUUUAUCUCAACAUUUGGAUAAUAAGCAUCUAAGUAGGUUCUUGGAAGCUGAUGUGGUGCUGGAUUUGACUGAUCAGGCUGAAUUCAAGAGCAAAACUGGUGUUUCUUAGUGAUUUUAUUUCCUACUGAGGUGAAUGCUGGAUUUUCUUUGUAGCUUUUGUGGAUUAGAUCAUUGAUUAGAACUGAUUGUGUAGUGUUUAGAAAUUGUUAUUUAUCGUUUACUUGCUUUGUGUGAUUUUGAGACCGUGAGCCUUGAAAGUGAGUUUGAUGAGUUAUAUGUGAAUGCUGGAUUUUCUUUGUAGCUUUAGAAGUUGUUAUUUAUCAUAUUCCUGCUUUGUGUAAUUUUGAGACCGUGAGCCUUGAAAAUGAGUUGGAUUCAAGUUAUAUCUUUUAUAAGAAAGGAAUAUUAAGUUGUAAAGUUCGAUUGUAGUACCAUAUCUAGGUAGCAAAUGGUAGUUGAACGUAGGAGCAUCUCAUAGAAUUCACACCACUUUAUUCUUUUGAGACUUCAAAGACAAUCUAGGUAUCAAAACUUCAUAGAGAGAGGAGCUGGUGUUUGGAGCCAUGUUUGGUGGUGUUAUAUGGGAGUUUUCUUGCUGAAGAAAUGGGAAAAUUGGAUUUUAAUCUUAUUCGAAUAAGUUGACAAAAAGCUGAAGAUCCCGGCAAGGAAGAACAAUUGCAGUUAGAUCGAGCUCGGACAAAAUUAACUGGCUCUGACUUAAAACUGAUGUAUGCAUUGAGACAUCUUAUUAAUGCCCAAGAACUGUUUCUGGUGACACAAGAUUUCUGAUGUUACAUUUGACUUUGAGCUUAUAGCAUUAGCAGCAUUCUUGGUUCUUAAUAUCAAAUGUUUUAUGCAAGGGAAAAAAGGAGUUCUUUCCGUU